rnacentral:rRNA from 1 species
UACGUAGGUGACAAGCGUUGUCCGGAUUUACUGGGCGUAAAGAGCGCGCAGGCGGUCGUUCAAGUCGAGUGUGAAAGCCCCCGGCUCAACUGGGGAGGGUCACUCGAUACUGAUCGACUCGAAGGCAGGAGAGGGAAGUGGAAUUCCCGGUGUAGUGGUGAAAUGCGUAGAUAUCUGGAGGAACACCGGUGGCGAAGGCGGCAUCCUGGACCAACACUGACGCUGAGGAGCGAAAGCCAGGGGAGCAAACGGG